rnacentral:rRNA from 1 species
UACAGAGGGUGCGAGCGUUAAUCGGAAUUACUGGGCGUAAAGCGUGCGUAGACGGUUAUUUAAGUCGGGUGUGAAAGCCCCGGGCUCAACCUGGGAAUUGCAUUCGAGACUGAAUAGCUAGGGUACGGUAGAGGAAGUGGAAUUUCCGGUGUAGCGGUGAAAUGCGUAGAUAUCGGAAGGAACAUCAGUGGCGAAAGCGACUUCCUGGACCAAUACUGACGCUCAUGUGCGAAAGCGUGGGGAGCAAACAGG